UACAUAUACAUCUAACUUUUACUCUUUCUCUUUUCUUCCUAUAUUGGAUUCUCCUAUCUCUUACGUUCUUUGUCUUCUUGUGUAUAAUACAGUUCCUUACUGAUACCAUAAGCUUAUGUUAACUCAUUUUUGGAUCACAAGACGCAUUGCGUGUGAAGAAUCAAGAUUCCAUGAAAUCCACUUGCUAUUUAUGUCCGGCAAAAGAUGUGUGAGCAGAACUAUCCUAACAACAUGAUGUGCCGUUAACUACUCAUAAUCAAUAAACAGUUUGUUCCAUGGACAUUAACUUAUUACUUAGAGAAAAGGAUGUGUUGAGAUUAAUAUGCACUAAUGCAAUGGUAAAUGUGUCACCAUUUUCUUGAUGCAUCAAGCUUAGGAGAUACUGAAGUCAUCAAUGAGUCUUGCAUUCAAGCUUGCUGUCUUUCAAAAUUAGGACACUGUACAUAAACUUGCAUUUUUGUGUUGUUUUUAUAAUGUUAUAAUUGUUU